rnacentral:rRNA from 1 species
CAAGGUAUUGAAAUAAGGUUUUAAUUGAAUGCUAAAAGAAUGGAAUAUCAAAGAAUAACUUUCUUAAAAUUAAAAAUUGAAAUUUUUUUAAUUUGUGUAAAAACAAUUAUAUAAAUUAAAGACAAGAAGACCCUAAGAAUUUUUAAAAUUUAAAUUAACACAUUUUUGUUUUAGUUAAAUUUUAACUGGGGCGGUUAAAAAAUAUUAAAAACUUUUUAAUUUUGAAAAUGACCUAUUAUUAAUGAAAAUAUGAUAAAAUACUCUAGGGAUAACAGCGUUAUAUUUUUUGAUAGAUCAUAUUGACAAAAAAGUUUGCGACCUCGAUGUUGGAUUAGGAUACUUUUUUAAUGAAGAUAUUAAAAUAAGAAGUUUGUUCAACUUUUAAAUUCCUACUUGAUCUGAGUUCAGACCGG